AAAUACCCUUCCUUUGUGAGGAAGGCUAAAGAAAAAAAGAAUCAGUAGCUUUUAAAGCUGGGCCUUAGUGGGACUCUAAAUGCAAUGAAAGCAGUCUGUGUUGAGAGAUUGAAAUGCAUUUCAAAGCCAGGCCUGACUCGGGGUACAAGGAAGAACAGACCUAUGUGCAUUUUGUAGGAAGAAAAAUGUGAAUGGAAAAGGGAAAAAGGGAAAGAAACAGGGGGAAGAUCUGGAUAAGACAUUAAAGUGACCAUAAUUUUGGAGAUGCAUUCAUCUUAUUCAAAAUGUGCAUGUAACUAGGGACGCAGAAGUCGGAUAUUUGCUCAACCAGGACACUCAACAAUUUGAGCCUUUAAAGUUUGGAGCUGCAUGGGUUUGUGGAAGAAGUCAGCUCACGAUAUUUCCUCAUGGUAGUGAUUCUUCUGGACUCUCCUGUGUUCAAAAGGAUGGCAUAGACACCGUAAACAUAAUGGUACAUUGGCAGUGGGCAGCAGCAGAGUGAGUGAAAAAUGGGGAGAUGUCGGUCAGACGAUAUAAAUAUCCAGUGACAAGAUGGGCAUAUGCCACAGGUCUACAGAGCACAGCUGGUGAUGAAG